GCCCCCUGUUGGGUUUGCAGAUUUGGGCCUAGUAAAUGGGCCUAAGUCCAAGUAAAUUUUGGUCCAAAUAUCACGAUCCAGCCCAUCCUACGACUCUAGGGUUUUCCUAUAUAAUCCAUUUAAAACCCUAAAACACCACUUCCUUCCAUUACUGCCGCUUUUUUUUCUCUGUCAGAUUGCUCUGAGAAGUAAAGAGGACUCUUCGUUCAUCACCAAUUCAGAAUGAGAGCUAAGUGGAAGAAGAAGCGUAUGAGGAGAUUGAAGAGGAAGCGCCGAAAGAUGAGGCAGAGAUCGAAGUAGAAUCACAUGCCGAGGUUCUCAACGGUCUAUCUAUGUUUUUUGCUAUCUUUAGGCUUAUGCCGUUUAAGUUUUUUAAGUUUAAAUUUCAGUAACAUUCAGUAGUGGUUUUGACCUAAUGGAACCAAGUUGAGAUUCUGAUAUCCCUUUUUUUAAUAGAAUUAUGUUUUUAAGUUUA